rnacentral:lncRNA from 1 species
CAAUUGCGGUAAUGGCUCACUCCAUCCAAUUCAGGAGUUUUCCCCUCUGUUAAAUGUUGUCACUAGAUGGCGCCCUUGUGUACUUAUUUUACUGUUCUGUCAAAGGUUGCACUGUACACACAGAUGUGACAUCAUUACGCUGUAUGUACGCCUUGUUAUGUUAUCGGAGGAGCAGACAGGGCACCUGCAGUUGUGCUUUAUGCUUGAGUGUUAAAAAUGGGACCUCCCGUACUGGCCUCAAUAAAUAAGCCAAGGCCGACCCUAACCCUAACCCAAACCCUAAUCCAAACCCUAACACUUACCCUAACCCUAACCUGACAGACGGUGACAUUUCACAACCAUAAGGAAUAACCAAUCGGAGCCCAGCACUUCUAGCCAAUCAGAGGCGAGGGAAGGGCGGGACCUUCCUCUACCAACCUACAAAAAUAAACAAAUAAAUAAAAUAAAAUAAAUCGCCAUCCGGGGAUUCUGUUUCAGCCGAGCUUCAUCACGGCGACUGUCGGCGACUUUCCCGCCGAAUGCGCACAAUGCUACUGCGCAAGCGUUGGAGUGCCUACUACAGUACUGCACAGUGUUGAUUUCAGGAAAUGGAGGAAAAACGCGGAAUUACCGAGAGCUUUUCGGCUUCAAAUCCGUAGGCUCUACUGGCAGAAGGCGGACCCAAGUUGUCCUUACAGUCUGUGCUAAAGACUGAAGAUGAGACAGGUAAGAGAGUCAUGAUUGAAGUUAGUGUUUACAUGUCAUAAUGAUCGGUAUAAACCAACCCUCUCCAUUGGAAUACAAUUUCUGUCUGAUUGAGCCGAAUUUGAUCAGAAUCCUCCGAUCGACAUGUUUACAUGGCUCAUUUUCAUUCCGAUCGGGCAUUAUUCCGAUUAUUUGUUCCCAUUUAAACGCAGCUAAUGUUUCAGUGCGGUAUAGGCUGAAGUUGGUGUUAUGUUGGAUGAUUGAAAGUCCCCCUAAAUCACGCACUCAAAAUAAAAAGUUGCACAGGUUUUUUUCUUUAGUGGACUGUGCCACAUUCAGGCCCCACAAAUACUUUGCAUGAGUAGGUCAUUUGCAGAAACAAGCACAGCUGAUUUUCACUGUCCUUGAAUCCCUGGGUUUGAGCUUCUAUAACAAAGGUGGGACUGGUCAGUGAGAGCUGAAGGUGAGAAAAGUGUGUCAGGCAGGGUUUAGGUGACUCUGGGGGGACUUUGUCGCUCUUGUGUGUUGCUAGUUGGGGGAACCGAGGUGUGUGUGGGUCCAUAUGUUGUAUUUAUAGCACUUUUAUAGAUGAAAGACUGAGACAAGGAGAGUAAACAAGGGGGCGGUCGUGAUGUAUCAGCAGAAAAGCAAGAAGGGUGACACUGUUGUGACUUUUCCCUGCAAUAAACAAAGAGUGGGGAGUGUUUGAUGUAUGUGAGGUGUGUGUGAGAGCCAGAGAAGUGGAGGGAGGAGGAGGAGGAGGCCAUAAAAACAUGGAACAAUGGAGGCAUUAUUUCACUUCUGUUCCAUUGCUGUGUUUACAGUCUGCUCCCCCCCUCUGCCACUUUCUCUGGGGGCAGCUGUUGGCAACACAGAUAACGCUGGCUUAUCAGCCCUGCAGCCGAGUCGGACAGGACACAUUGUAUCACCAAACUGGACAUAGUUUCGGCCCAGGCUGUGCAUUCUUCCACACCCUGGAUGUUUUACUGUGCGGCAAACGUCACGUGUCAGCAGUCUGUCACUGGGGUCAAGGUGCUCAUAGAUUAGUUACAGCAGACUCAGUUAUCACAUAACUCUUCCAGCUCCCAAGCAAUUGCUAUUUUCUGCCUCUUUAGUCACACACUCUCAAGUGGUCACGCCUGUUGGAGAUACUCAAGGGUUCUUUUAUUUUCACACACUUGUCAUCAUUUCUGUGGCAUCCUAAAUUCUGCAGGGAUGUACAAAUAGGGGCAUUGUCUGUGACGUGUUUGUUGUAUGAGUAAUCCUGACCAGUCAUGUAUAAGCAGGCUUUGGUUUAAUGUAGAUCAACAGUUUGUGUGGACAGCAGCAUAGACAGAACCACUGGCUGUAUAUAGAUAUGGGUAACAUGCCUCUGUUAUCACCCACUGAAAGAAAACUAAGGCCAAAAUAAAACACGUACUUAACUGACAGCAGAAAAGAUCUUGUCUUGAUUUGAAGCAGACACUCAAGUUUCUGUGAAGUUCAUUUUCUGUCUCUGUUCCCUCGUCAGUUUUACUGGUAAUUAAAACAGUUUCUUUGGAGCCAGUGUGGUGAUUGCCCCUACAGAGUCAUAUCUGUUUUCAGUAGUUUCUGGUGGUGACUUGUACCUAUGCAGUGAUUUCCACUACAGAGUCGUGUCUGUUUUCAACAGUUUUUGAAAGUUAUUUGAUGCAAGAGUCAUGUAUGUCUUCAAAGGUUUGGUAGAUGAUUCAAGCCCCUGUGGCGACUUUCACUACAGAGUCAUGUCUGUUGCAGCUGUUGUUUUUGGAGAGGAUUUCGGGUAGGCAGGAAUCCGUUAAAGAAGCAUCUUUUUUUGUGGUGUAUGUACAAAAAAGCUUUCAAUAUCAGUCAAUAGCUAUUAGUUAUUGAUGACAUUUGGGAAUAUCACGAUAUUGCUGUGUUCUCUUCUGCCUGUGUAGUCAACUCCGCUCUUUCUGACUGUAAACAAAGCCAUUCUCUGCCUCCCCCAACCUGAUUGGCUGUGAGGCAGACCCUGCUCCCUCGUGUGCAAGUUAACGUGCAAGUUAGCGUGCAACAAUAUCGGACAGUAGAAACCAACCAGAAAGUACGGAAAAUUGUCUGAAUCCUCCUCUGG